CAUAUACUCAACAUAUAUGUGUUGUCCAUAUACUCACUGGAGCAUGGUCAAACUCCCAUUGGCCAGCCCUCCCCCACCAGAAGUCAUCAGCUGUGGAGAGCUACAGCUCCGCAUCCUUGUCAUAAUUUUUUUAAAGGGGAGAGAACCUGUCUUUAAAAAGGAUGGAAGGAAGGAUAGAGAGAUGGACAGAAGUUUGAGCUACAGAGGGAGUCGAAGUCUAGCCUGAGAACCUGUCUCACAGUAAAAGUCUGUAUUUUGUUGUUUUCUUUCUUUUCUUCUUCUUCCUUGCCUCUUUCUUUGUUUUAGUUUUGUCUGUCCUGGAACUUGAACUGUAGACCAGGCUGGCCUCAAACUCAGAUUUUUGCCUGCCUCUGCCUCCCGGGUGCUGGGAUUAAAGGAAUGCACCACCA